AACAAGUUGAACUAACACUUGACUUGUUUGGUUUGCAGGACAACAUAUCUCUAGUAUGGUCUUGGAUUGUUGCUGAGUCUUGAUUGGUUACACCAACUGUACAAACAUCUCAUUCCUGUGGGGGAUAUCAUGCUGCUUGCAAAAGUUUCCAAGUCCAAAUAGGUUGACUUGAUUGUUCUGACAUAUUGGCAGUCGCAUUCUUGGUCUAGGUGAUCUUGGGGUCCAGGGAAUUGGAAUACCCAUCAGGAAAACUUGACAUGUAUGUCACUGUUGCUGGUAUCAACCCACAGAGAAUUUGGGACUUCGGCAACCUUGGUUGGAAGGAGAGGAGUAUCUAUCAAUUGUUGAUGAAUUUAUGGAGGCAAUUCUCGCCUGUUGGCCCAAGGCUAUUGUGCAGUUUCAGGAUUUUCAAAUGAAGUGGGCUUUCGAAAGAUUGCAACAGUAUCAAAAAAGGUUCUGUAUGUUCAAUAAUGACAUACAAGUGAAUACUUGGUGUUGCAUUCUGCUAUUCUCCAUGGAAAUAGUAAAGAAUAUAAUAAGGCAAAGUACUUUAAG